rnacentral:rRNA from 1 species
AUUGAACGCUGGCGGCAGGCCUAACACAUGCAAGUCGAGCGAGCGGCGGACGGGUGAGUAAUGUAUGGGGAUCUGCCUGAUAGCGGGGGAUAACUACUGGAAACGGUGGCUAAUACCGCAUACCAUCAGAUGAACCCAUAUGGGAUUAGCUAGUAGGUAGGGUAACGGCUAACCUAGGCGACGAUCCCUGGCUGGUCUGAGAGGAUGAUCAGCCAAACGGGGACUGAGACACGGCCCAGGAUCCUACGGGAGGCAGCAAGUGGGAAUAUUGGACAAAGGGGGCAAGCCUGAUGCAGCCAUGCCGCGUGUAUGGAGAAGGCCUUAGGGUUGUAAAGUACUUUCCGCGGGGGGGCGUUACCCGCAGAAAAAGCACCGGGUAACCCCGGGCCAGCAGCCGCGGUAAUAC